UCCAGACUCCUACGGGAGGCAGCAGUGGGGAAUAUUGCACAAUGGGGGAAACCCUGAUGCAGCGACGCCGCGUGAAGGAAGAAGUAUUUCGGUAUGUAAACUUCUAUCAGCAGGGAAGAAAGUGACGGUACCUGACUAAGAAGCCCCGGCUAACUACGUGCCAGCAGCCGCGGUAAUACGUAGGGGGCAAGCGUUAUCCGGAUUUACUGGGUGUAAAGGGAGCGUAGACGGCGAUGCAAGUCUGAAGUGAAAGGCGGGGGCCCAACCCCCGGACUGCUUUGGAAACUGUAUAGCUGGAGUGCAGGAGAGGUAAGUGGAAUUCCUAGUGUAGCGGUGAAAUGCGUAGAUAUUAGGAGGAACACCAGUGGCGAAGGCGGCCUGCUGGACGAUGACUGACGUUGAGGCUCGAAAGCGUGGGGAGCAAACAGGAUUAGAUACCCGGGUAUA
rnacentral:rRNA from 1 species